UGGCCCUACAGUCCCAUUUAGUCUCUCAGCUACCCUGUACAUAUCUUUCUGAGAGCUCUGAGAAUUACUGUGAACUGAUUCUUGUCAGCAAGGGGAAUGGAAUGUAACAUUUGAAGCAUACAGCUUCUGCAUUCCUGCAUGCGGGUCUAGCUUAAAAUUGUCUUGAAACAUAUGGGGACAAUGGGUUGCAUAUUCUUUCUAAAGUAUGGGAAUGUUUAAACUUGACAGCCAGGACCCGAUGAAUGACCAUGGUUCAUCUCCAGAACUGGCGGUUCGAAGCGCAGAUCCUUACCAAGUUGGAAAUGUAUGUUUCCCACAGCAAGGAGCUGGUGAGGAGAAUGCAAGGAAGUGUACCUUUUUACCUUCCCGAUCUCUGAGAACUGAAAAGCAGUCAGAUCUUUCCCAGGACAGAGGAUGAUACAAAGCUCUACAUAGACAUGGGUAGCUGAUGCUACUAGGAAUGGGCUGGUGGACCCCUCUGGCUUAACAGUCUGUUAUCACUGAUUUGGGUUAAUACCACUGAUUUUACAUCUGGAAUCUCUCUACAUUCUUCCCACAGUGUAUUUCUUAUGGAAAACUUUCCUUAGAAAUCUGCACAUAGAAGCUAAAUCCUAGAAAUCUCAUUUACAUGCUCUAAAUUUGAUAAAAAAAUAUAUGUAGGUACCAGUAGAACUGUCUCAGAGCUUCUUCACCAUCCUGCUUUCUUGAAACAAACACUAAGAUUCAGCCCAGAACCUUGAUACCCUUGCUUUGAUAUAUGGUUAUUCUAGACUAGCUACUGCAUUUCAUAUAAGACCUGAAUUGGAUUGUCCAUAGUCGCCAUCUUGGUCAACAAACUGGUUUCUGAUUGCAGCAGGAGUAGACAAGUCUGCAGUGUAAAAGGAGGGAAGAUUUCUUAAGUCAAUGAAAUCUAUUUGUAAUAAUAACUGAGCUAGUUGCUAUGGGUCAGAAAAGUCGUACAGGAACAUCUAGGAAGAACAGAACAGCUGUUUUUUAGUCUUCCUCUUGUAUGUGAUUGCAAGUGAUUUACUGUAAUAUUAGCACUUCAGAUCAAACAGAAUUCAAAGGCAUUACAAACCUUCUCUACCUGAUUGCAUUGUGAGCAGAAAAUUGUUUCAUCUAUCAUGAAAGAGUAAUUGCAAAAAAUGUGAAAGACAGCAGUAUGUGAUACUUUAAAACACCAAGUAAAGAACACCGAUUACAGUUGAAACUGCAGGGCUGAUGGUGGGAUCCAGAACUAAAUAACAUAGUUGGAGUUUGGACAGGGCAUUGGGAUUCACACCUUAGACUCUGUGGGGAGCUUCUAAUUAUUACAAGUGGUUAGAAAAGUUUUCUAAUCUAAGAAACAAUGUGCAAUCACAACAUUCCUCCCCUUCAUCACACAGUGAGAGUGUUUGAUUUCUCACUGGGCGAGGGAUCCUGGUAAUUUACCUAAUAGCACUUCUUUUCCAGAGAUCUACCAUACUGUAGUGUCUGUCCUUCCCUACUUUUCUCAAUUUUUUUUGUUUUGUUUCUUGUUGUUGUUACUAUGAUUAUAAUAGUCCGUGAACCUUCACUUAUUAACAAAACUGCUCUACCAAUGCAAAUCAACUGUGUCACGCAGGACAGUGGGAAAAGGUAAGAUCAUUAAGGUUUUAGCUUGUAUUUCACUGCAGUAUUAGUCUGGAUCUUUAGCAGUGCGGGAACUUCAUCUAUUGCUGCAAGGGGACAACAGCGGAUAGGCUUCCCAGGGCAUUUCUGCAGAAACAGACUGAAGCUGGGUGUAAACUCAGGAAGAAUAAAGGGCAGUAAGAGGACCCAUAGGGCUACAGUGCCCUAUGACUAAACAAACUAUUGCUUAUACGUCACUGAUUUUUCCCAGAUCAGGCUGAAAUGUUCCAGGUUUGGUCUCUUGUCUAAAGGUGAUGUAGAAUUGUCUGGUAUUUUGGAGCUCCUUUUCCCACUGAGUAAAAAUGGUUCAGCCAUUUUUAUUUUUACUUUUUUC
ensembl:lncRNA